AAACGCAGGCUGAAGUGACCGGUGCCAGUUCCUCUGACUCAGGCGUGCCUUCCUGGCACUCUCUUCCCCUUCUGCCACAGGAUGCAGAGGAUUCUAGGAUCCUAGGAGAAGGUGAGGCACAAGAUGUAAAGCAUCCAGUCUCCUGAAUUCUCUCAUGGAAGGAAGUCUCCUACCAACCAGGACCUCCCACACCGGAUGAUCAGUGACAGAAGAAAGAAGUAGAAUUUUUUUGGCGCUUUGACCUUCGAAAGAGAACUUCCUCUCAUCAACUCUUUUCUUAUCCUGAGCUAUAGUCUUUAGAGGGAAGGCAAGAAAUAUGAGGAUGAAGAUGCAUAGUUGAGCACGGAAGGUGGAAACAGAAAACAUAGAAGCCGCCCGCACGGUCCUGAAUGGAAUGUGGCUGAGCUAUGGAAGUACUCCUUUGAGUGCAAAGUCUGGCACCAGAGCCUGCAGCUUCUGCCCAUGCAUGAUCCUUAAGCAGAAACAGCAAGAUACAGAGAAAGGCAUGAGGCACCAUCUCGCCUUUUGUUAAAAAAGCAAAACAAACAAACAAAAAAACCCAGUAGAUGUGAAUGUAUGUAUGAUCACGCACACACAAAAAUAUUUAGGACGCUUAACCUCAAGCCGGGUGAGAUCCGAGGCCCCAAGAACACCACGUUCCUCAGACAGACUCUCAGUGUGGGUGGUGCUGGGGCUGCAGCUGUAAGCUGAUGGUGAGCAUCUCUUGUAAACUCUGUUCAGUGACCUCGUGCUGGUUCUUUGAAAUUGGCCACGCUGGAAGCGUUUGCACAGCAGAAAUUGGCAAAUGCUGCGAAGCAGGGUUUCCUCCCCUCAAGAGCCGGUUGUUAAACCUUUUUCAGCAUGUCACUGCCACAGGACUGGAAAUGCCGCUUCCGCUUCAUCUCCAGAGGCCUACACUCAAAUACUUGCUUACUCUUUGCACCGGGGAAAUGCAUGGGCACAGAUAAUUUUAGAGCACACAGGGGACCUUUCAGCUCUUAUUUGCCAGAGGUCUCUGGUCUCUGGCGGGGAGUAACAUCCUUUCCUGAGGAUACUGUGGUCUGUGGAACCUGAGACAGCGCUAUGCUGCAUCCUCGCCACUGGGAGGCAGUGUUGCCCCAGGCAAGGCAUCUGCCCAGCCAAGCCCAGCUGGGAGGAGCUCCCAGGGUCAGCAGUGGACAGCCAGUGUCUCAGCCCUCAGCGUCCUGGGACCCCUUCCCCGGGGACCCUUCCCUAGUGGUGGAGGUCAGGGAGAGGAAGAAAUCAAACCUUAGCAUUCUUACACCCAUGGAUUUCAAAAGCAGGGAUAACAAUAAGACAUUCAGCAUAUUACCAUUCAGGCCAACUGGCUCUGAUACUUACAAGCAGUAUCAGAAGUUAAAACACCACUAGCCUCGGUUUUCUCACCUGCAAAACGGGGCAUAUAGCAGUGUCAACUUCACAGGGAAUUGCGAUGAUUACAUGACAUGAUGCCCGUACCCCAUUGAUAGAGCUUAGAAAGGUGCCUGGCACCUGUUGAUCCCCCAGGAAGGGCAGCUCCUGUGACACAGUGUGUUAGGGUCUUGUUAGUGUUUGUGCUCACCAUCUGAGGUUUGAACUAUAAUUUUCCAUUUUAGAGGUGGGACACAGAAGGAAAGGGGCUGUCUCAAAGCCACACAGUGAGGGCCUUGAACCCUGGCCUAAAUGAUGCCAUGAGGCUCCCCUUCCUCAUUUGGCACAGCAGAAACAAUGGAGAGAGAAGAGGGGUCUAGAGCUGGCAACGGGAUCUGAUCUGCCCUCCCCAGCCCCGCCUGCACACCUGGGCAGGCUGCUCAAUCUCAGCAUUCCCUUUCUGAACCCCUGUAAAAUGCGACUUGCAGUCACUACUUCAGAGUUAUUGUGAGAUCCAGUAACACAGCGAACGCAGAAUCCUUCAAAACAAAUAAGCAAUACACUAAUGUCUCCAGUCAGCUCAUGCUUGUUGCACGCCAAAUGUACGCCAGGCCAUGGGCAAUGGUGUUCUGUGAGCCCCCGGCUUUGCCCACAUGGGCUCACAGUCUGUGAAGGCAGGGUUGAUGCAGCCUCAGUUUCCUCCUCUGGAUUCACACAUUUUUGCCUGGCAGGGUCUGGCACUGGGGAGGGUAGGCGGGGCAUCUUUACAAUGUCCCACCCCCCUGUCUCACACACACACAGGCACACACUCACAAAGGAGGUAUUGGGUCUUCAUUCGUGGGCUCAAUGCUGGGGAGCAACAGAGGUGGCCGCUUGUUGACAGGCAGCAGCUCAACAUGGCAAGGACCUGUCCCGGGAGAGGCUGUCCCACGUCCAGCUGCAGCAGGGGUGCCCUGAACCUUACCCAUACUUAGGCAGUGGUCGUUCCUCUGCAAAGCUCUUGGUGUCCAUUGCUGUACUCCUGGAAAGAGGCCACCAGUGCCGAGGGCCACAGCCAGGCAGUCAUGUCCAGUUCCUGAACUUGGCUUUCUCACCUUUGAGCUGGGGACACUGCCAGCCACUACACCAGUAUUGAGGACUGACUGGAGGCCUGGAGCCCAGGGAGUGCUGGUGGGAUGGCAGAGGCCCACAGGGUAACUGCUCGACUACAAGGCUCUGCUCCCAGCUCCUGCCCGAAGCCCAGUGUCGCCUCUCCUUUGCAAUGUCUUAUAAAAUAAACAGGUGCUGGUCAUCUCAACCUGUAGAGCUGUCUGAGGACUGAAUAAGGCAGGUGUGAGUUCCAGGCACAUAGGCUGGCGACACAGAGGCAACACUAGACCCAGCCUCCACAGCUGGCACCUCCACCCUUCCCGGUGCUCAGGCUCAAGCCACACUUCCACCUCAGUGCCUCACUCCUGCCAGUCUGUCCUCAAAGGCAGCCGCCCCACCUCCAGCCCGACCACUGCUGCACCUCCUGUGUGAGUCAUGUUAUCAGCACACCUGGGCCAAGCCAGUGGCUUUGGGGACCUCCUGGCUGCACUCUCCACCAAGUUGACAGAGUGGUCUUUUAAAGUCGAAGUUAGAUCCUGUCUGUCCCCUGCUCUGAGCUCUCCAGUGGCUUCUGUCUCACUCACAUGGAAUAAAAUCCAAAGCCCUCACCUGGCCCUAUAAGGGCCUCACCACCUCCUUCUUAUCCAUGCCUCAGAGACUCUGUACUUCUGUCCCCUGUGCCCGGCACACCCUUCCCCACGCAGCCAAAGGUGGCUCCUCUAUUCAUCCCGGUCUCUGCUACGGCCACCAGGACAGAGCUGCUCCUUCCUUCCCUAUUAUUUCAAGGCUGUUCUCCCCUGUGCUUCCUCGGGACUCCAUCCCUUCACCUUGCUGUCUGCUUCCUUUUAGCACCCAAUGCCACAUGAUGGGUUUAAUGCCAUCACCGUGCCCCCUCACCUGUGAAACUCCAAAAAGGCAGAGGCUUGGUUUUGUUCUCUCCAAGCCCCUGCCCAGCACUAUUCACUAGCCUUUGGCCUGGCACUACUAAUAGGCACUCAAUAAAUACAUCUCGAGCAAAUGAAUGAAUUAGUAAAUGCAGGACUGAGUGAGUGAGUGAAUGAAUGAAAAGCUUCCCAUUAACCCACGUAUGUGCUCUGAAGGAUUGGUUCAGAAUCAAAGGAUUUUGAUCAAAUACCCAUGUACAGAAGUCCACUCCAGACCCAAAUUCCUCCAAAAACAGACUCACCUCUCCUUAGGGACACACAGAAUGCUUAUCUCCUAAACUCAUUCCAGAAUCUCUGGUGGUUGGGUCAAAGAAAAUCUACUGGGAAGAACCCAGCAGACCUCCCAUAAAUGGAGCUCCUGGUGUCCCUGCCCUUCCUCUCGGUAGGUGGCUUUGUUGAGGGAGAGUUACAGACUCUACUGGGACGGGACCUUCCUAGGUCAAAUUCCUUCUUUCUCCAAUCUAUGUGACUCGGGCCGGUCAGAGCCUCAGUUUCUCUCUACGAAUAAGAGGUUCAAGCCCAUUGCACAUACCUAGCUUGCUGUGAUGUUGAAGCAGGGAUGGGGCCUUUUUGGUGACAACCUGCUAUAUGCUGGGUGUACACAGAGCACUCAGCAUCUGGGGACAUUCAGCAAAUCUCAGCUCCCCUUCCCCACCUGACCCCAGCCAUGGCAUUCCUGCUGCCUUCACUCCUCUGAAGGGGGAAGUGAGGGUAAGAGAAGAAGCCACUUGCCUAUGGAGAUAUUUUGCAAAGCUGGGACUGGAUGAAUCUCAGAUUCCUGAGUCUGAGCCCAGAACUCACCCAUUGCCACCCACUGAAUGUGUUGACUUUUAACGGCUAUCUGAAGAUGUGGUUCCCCUGCUGAGCACUAAGGAGGAGGAGGGAUGAGAAAAAACAACCACUGCCCAAGUGAGCUCCAUGCCUGAAGAAAUCUACUGAGGUUGCGGUGGGCUUGGGAUGGGCAUUGACUGAGGGCUUGGGCAUCAACUACUUCACUUGACUCAAUUCUAACACAGCUCUGGGCAGUAAGCAUCCCUGUGCCCAUUUUACAGAGGAAAAGCUGAGGCUCCCAGAGGGGUAACCACAAGCCCAGAGUCACACACACCUUGCAGAUAGCAGAGCUCAGGUUCAAACCCAGGUCUGCCUAAGUCCCAGCUUUCCCCCACUGUGCAGUCCACAUCCCCAGAUCCUCUGAACACUGCCUCUCCAGCCAAGCCUACCGGGACUGAGACACACACUUUCUUCCCACAGCUGGGUCUCCAGCUCACUCCCUGAAGCUCCUGGGCAGGUGACAGUGGUGAGAGAAGUGGACCACAGAGUGAACACCCUCUGAAAAUGGGCUCCACUCAGUCUGAAUGCUAACCCAGGAUCCGAUUGUCAAGAGGAAAGGAAAAUCCAAGGUUUCCCGGGAAAUCUCCUGAUUUUUCCAUGUCGUCAGUUAUGUUUUGUUUUGGGUCCUUGAGCCACUGUCCAGCCACUGCAGCACCCAAACACUGGCAGGAGCCAAUGCGGAUUGUCUGUUCCUAUGGCCUAAGUCACGCCCCCCAAAUUCCUAUACUGAAUCCCUAACCCCUAGUACUUCAAAAUGUGACUGUAUUUGGCGCUAGAAACUUUAAAGGGGUGAUUAAGUUAAAAUAAGGCCAUCAGGGUGGGUCUUAAUCCAAAAUGACUGGGGUCCUUGUAAGAGGAGAUUAGGACCCAGACAGGUACAGGAGGAAAGGCGUGAAGAUGCGGUGAGAAGGCGGCCAUGUGCAAGCAGAGGAGAGAGGCCUCUGCAGAAACCAACGCUGCUGAUGCCUUCAUGGCAGACUGUUCGCCUCCAGAACUG